CAAACCCAUCAACAAGCUCCUACCUUUUUUGUAAAACCACACUACCCAUCAGCCAAAGAGCCAGGGACCUUGUCUCUAGGCUCACAUUAGGUGAGAAGAUUUCCCAACUCAUUAGCUCAGCUCCACCGAUUCCACGACUCGGUAUCCCGGCGUAUGAGUGGUGGUCCGAGGCAUUACAUGGGGUUUCCAAUGUGGGACGUGGCAUUCAUUUUGAAGGCACUAUCCGUUCCGCCACUAGCUUCCCUCAAGUCAUCCUCACUGCCGCUUCUUUUGAUGCCUACCAAUGGUAUCGCAUAGGUCAAGUGAGCAGUUACUUGCUAUCAACACAAGUCUCACGGCUUAAUAAAGUAUAUUAAUUGGUUCAGUGAUGAAUGAUUCGUUAUGUUUUUUAUUGUGUGAAGGUGAUUGGAAGAGAAGCAAGAG
rnacentral:misc_RNA from 1 species